rnacentral:misc_RNA from 1 species
GAUGAAGAACGUAGCGAAAUGCGAUAAGUAGUGUGAAUUGCAGAAUUCAGUGAAUCAUCGAAUCUUUGAACGCACAUUGCGCCCCAUGGUAUUCCGUGGGGCAUGCCUGUUCGAGCGUCAUUUACCCCCUCAAGCUCCGCUUGGUGUUGGGCGUCUGUCCCGCUUCGCGCGCGGACUCGCCCCAAAGGUAUUGGCAGCGGUCGUGCCAGCUUCUCGCGCAGCACAUUGCGCUUCUCGAGGCACCGGUGGGCCCGCGUCCAUCAAGCUCACCCCCCCAGUUUGGCCUCGGAUCAGGUAGGGAUACCCGCUGAACUUAAGCAUAUCAAUAAGCGGAGGA